GAGACAGCAGCAGCCACGGUAAUACGAAGGGGGCUAGCGUUGUUCGGAAUUACUGGGCGUAAAGCGCACGUAGGCGGAUAUUUAAGUCAGGGGUGAAAUCCCAGAGCUCAACUCUGGAACUGCCUUUGAUACUGGGUACCUUGAGUAUGGAAGAGGUGAGCGGAAUUCCGAGUGUAGAGGUGAAAUUCGUAGAUAUUCGGAGGAACACCAGUGGCGAAGGCGGCUCACUGGUCCAUUACUGACGCUGAGGUGCGAAAGCGUGGGGAGCAAACAGGAUUAGAUACCCCGGUAGUCCCUGUCUCUUAUAC
rnacentral:rRNA from 1 species